rnacentral:lncRNA from 1 species
CUACACUAAAGGAACAUGCAUGACUCAUGUAGCUCGUGUUUGCAACAAGUUGUCUCUCCCUUGCAGAAACAGUCAGGCUCUUCAAGAUGAAGACGAGGCUGUUAUGAAGUCUCCUACUGCCUCUCCUGAACCAAGCGACAAAGCCGCUUGCCCCACUAAGACAGGGCAAGGGGUGGACACCAAGCUCCCAUGUACAAGAAUCUAGACUGGGAGGUAGUGUGGACCAGAAUGAGCCAGAUGAACAGCUACCCAACCCACCUACCUCAAACCAGACGGAAGCUGGGGUAGCUGAAGCAGAAAAUGACGAGAACGAGCUGAAACUCGUGGAUGACGGUACCCAUUGCAGCUCCCAAGAGCCCCACCACCACCACCAAAGGAGCUGGAAAUCGAGGCAGAGGAACCACAACCCCAAUCAUUAGCACCAAUCAGGGCACGGCCGAAAGGGCCAGGGACACAGUGCCCUUGUCAGGGGAGGAGGAAUCUGAACACAGCGAGCCGGAGCCAAGAGGGUGAGGAGGAAGAGUGAUGAGGACGAUGUGGUCCAGUCUAAAACAGUUGAGUGUAUACUAACUAUUGUGUGUGUGUGUGUGUGUGUGUGCGUGCGCGAGUACGUUUG